AGUGGGGAAUCUUGGACAAUGGGCGCAAGCCUGAUCCAGCCAUGCCGCGUGAGUGAAGAAGGCCUUAGGGUUGUAAAACUCUUUCGCCGGAGAAGAUAAUGACGGUAUCCGGAGAAGAAGCCCCGGCUAACUUCGUGCCAGCAGCCGCGGUAAUACGAAGGGGGCUAGCGUUGUUCGGAAUUACUGGGCGUAAAGCGCACGUAGGCGGGUUUGUAAGUAGAGGGUGAAAUCCCAGGGCUCAACCCUGGAACUGCCUUCUAGACUGCAAGCCUGGAGGUCAGGAGAGGCGAGUGGAAUACCGAGUGUAGAGGUGAAAUUCGUAGAUAUUCGGUGGAACACCAGUGGCGAAGGCGACUCGCUGGACUGAUACUGACGCUGAGGUGCGAAAGCGUGGGGAGCAAA
rnacentral:rRNA from 1 species